rnacentral:rRNA from 1 species
UGGGGAAUAUUGGACAAUGGGGGCAACCCUGAUCCAGCCAUGCCGCGUGUGUGAAGAAGGCUUUCGGGUUGUAAAGCACUUUCAGUGAGGAGGAAAACUCUGCGACUAAUACUCGUAGGGCUUGACGUUACUCACAGAAGAAGCACCGGCUAACUCCGUGCCAGCAGCCGCGGUAAUACGGAGGGUGCAAGCGUUAAUCGGAAUUACUGGGCGUAAAGCGCGCGUAGGUGGUUUGAUAAGCGAGAUGUGAAAGCCCCGGGCUUAACCUGGGAACGGCAUUUCGAACUGUCAGGCUAGAGUAUGGUAGAGGGUAGUGGAAUUUCCUGUGUAGCGGUGAAAUGCGUAGAUAUAGGAAGGAACACCAGUGGCGAAGGCGGCUACCUGGACCAAUACUGACACUGAGGUGCGAAAGCGUGGGGAGCAAACAGG